AUUGAACCUGCAACCUCAUGGUUCCUAGUGGGGUUCGUUAACCACUGUGCCAUGGCAGGAACUCCCCUUGGGUGUUGUAAUAUUUUAAAAUCUGUCUAGCUUUUAAAAAUUAUAACUGUGUUAAAAAUGUUGUAGCUGUACUCAUAAAAGUCUAAAUUUGGAACUUCUGGUUGUAAAUCCUACAUAUUACCUGUCCUAUGUGAGAAACGCAUCUUUGUGAACUUUUGCUUCAUCUUUUAGGUAAAUGAUUAGAACAUGCUUUGCUUCUCCUGUCUUGCAGGGAGACUGACUGUGACCCUGACUGUGAAAUCUGUGUUCCUGAUAGAAUUAUAUAGAUACAAUCUUCUACUAAUAGCAGCACUUUGGCUUAGUGGUGGCUGGAUCUGUAUUAAUAUUUUGGGUCUUAAUUGGUGACUGGAUCGACAGGAAACCAAAAAAGAAAGAAGGGAGCUGGAACAGUUCUGGCACUGCUGGCUCACCGUGUCUUCCAUCCACCCUGUGUGCCGUGAGAGUAAACGUCAGAGGCAAGACGCGAAUGCCCUUCAGUGAGUCAUCUCUGGGUGGUCCUGCUCACUGAUUUGGGAUCUAACUAAUCUUUAAGCAGUGUUCUCCUCACCCGUAAUUUUCAAAUCAGAGCCUAAAUCUCACAGACAUGAAGGCAAUGGAACAGCAGCGUCUCUGUCUGCAAGGUGGUCUGCUAUGCAGUCGUGAUCACUCUGGUGGCCUUGGCGAACCUGGCCAGCACGGCACUGACCAUUACCAUUCGGAGAGACUGGGUUGUGAGCCAGGUGACAGCAGAGGCCAGCUGGCUGGUGAGCUGUGCCACCCCAAGACACAACGGAGCAUCACAGCUUCUCUAAUCUGCUGAGAAGUAGGUCUGGUGUGGUGAAUAGAGUUUGGGUGCUCUGAGAAAUGCAGUACUGUAGCCUUUAAGAGAACGUAUUUGGGAGUUCCUUUUGUGGCUCAGUGGGUUAAGAACCCAUUAGUAUCCAUGAGGAUGCAGGUUUGAUUCCUGGCCUCACUCAGUGGGUUAGGGAUCCGGCAUUGCCACAAGCUGUGGUAUAGGUUGCAGAUGCAGCUUGGAUCUGGCAUGGCUGUGGUGUAGGCCAGUGGCUGCAACUUUGAUUCAGCCCCUAUCCUGGGAACUUCUAUAUGCUGUAGGUGAAGCCCUAAAAAGCAAAAAGAAAAAAAAAAGAAAAGAGAGAGAAAGAAGGUAUUUGGAGUCAAAGAGACCUGGAUUUGAAUCCAGCCAAAACCAACUACGGCAAGUUAACUAACCAGCUGCAAGUUAACUAACUUCCCUAGACUUUACUUUGCUCAUCUGUAGAAUGGGGAAAUUAUGACAACCCCCCACCUUGCCAUCACUCAGUUUGGGGAAGGCUUCUGUGAGAUAGGGGAUUUGUGAAGCACUUAGCAUUGUAUCUGCAUGUAGGAAGCGCAGAAGAAAUGGAUGAUGCCAUUAUUAUCAAAAAGAUGUACAGAGUGUACUUUGGGGAGAGGAGCCCCUUUGAAUAUAUUACAGAGGUUCUUUUUGGUAGUUUUAGAGUUGGAAAAUAAAUUACAAGAUUUCUUAAUUCUGGCCAGUGAUAAGCUUCUAUUUUCCCCAGAAAAUUCAUCACCAAAUGUGACUGUUGAUUAUUUUAAUCACUGAUAGUGAGACACAGAAUUUUUUUUUCAAUACUGGAGCUCGGUGGAAGAAUCUGGCAUCUUCUUUAUUUUUUUUCUUCCGCUUAUAAAUCUUGGAUCACUCACAUCAUGAGAUAUUCAAAUCGCUAUCCUAAAGCUGGAGCUCUUGUCCUACCCUAUAUUUGUGCAAUUGGUGCUCUGCUAGAAAAUGUUCAUGAGUGUGAUAGCCCAGAUAAAGGAAGCUGUUAUAGAGCCAUCUAUUAAAAUACACUCCUUGCAAAGUAUAGAAGCCCCUUAUAAUCAUGUUUUCUUCUAAACUACACUUAUUUGGAUGCACUGUGUCUUAAAUAACAGCCCCCAGAAUAAAACAGCUAUGUGGGUAAAAGCCGGGUGAUAUGGCGUUGAAAGUGUCCUCUAUCUCUGGGUAAAAGAAAAUCUUCCUACUCACUGUUAAUUAAUUUUGAAGAAAUCUAAAAUAAAGCACAGAUUGAGAUUUGAGGUUUAUUCUAGCUUAAAAAAAAGCUCGUGCAGUUCUUGCUGUUGCACAGUGGGUUAAGAAUCUGAGUGCAGUGGCUUGGGUUGCUACAAAGAUGCAUGUUCAAUCCCAGCCCAACACAGUUGGGUUAAGGAUCUGAAGUUCACAGCUUCAGCUUGGAUUCAGUCCCUGACCCUGGAACUUCCAUAUGGUGAGCGUGCCACCAUUAAAGAAAAAAUCAUCUUAUAAAUACGUUCUUUAAUGAUGGGGGAAUUGUUAAGAGAUUUGGGGUCAAAUGGCCUGGGUUUGAAUCCCACCUCCACCAUUUACCUUCUCUGUGACCUUAAGUAAUUUCAUUUCUUGGAGCCUCAGCUUCCUAAUUUGUAAAAGGGAGAUUCUGUGGACCCCUUAGAGCUCUUCUGAGGAUUAAGUAAGACAAAUGUCUGUAGAAGGCUAAGAACUAUGUGCCUGGCACAGAGUAAGUAUUCAAUUCUUUCUGUCCUUUGUGCUCUGUUGCCCACCCCUCUUCCCUUUCAACAUGUUAGUCAUAAUAAUGGCUGUUCAUAUUGUUGUUUUUCAGAUCAUGGGAUGUGAUAGAGAAUACUAAGAUAAAAGAGUAAUUAGCUCCAAGUAACCUAGUGGCCUAGUCGCUCUCAUCCUCAGUUUACUUGUUGGUUAAUUGUUCAAGUUCCAAUGGAACUAACUGAUCACAGUGUUCUUUUCCAGGUUGAAAAUCCUAUGGGUAACCCAUAGUCAGACUAAAAGGGAUCUUUCCUGUUCACUGCCAUUCACCCAGUGUAUGGCUCGAAAAUCUAGUAAACAAAUGAUAAUAAAUUGCCCGGAAGAGACACUCAAGCACUGAGUUGCAGUGUGUCUUUUCUGUCACUUACAGGGAUGAAUGCAGCUGUCCGGUGGCUGGACAAUAUCAUCACUAUAUAUAUAUUUGCUCGCCUGUUUGUGGGCCAGGUGAUGACAUGGGCAUCUCAUGUGAUCAGUUGUGGUUUCAUUCUUGGAUAGAACUUGGUUUUACUUCUUGUUGAGUUUCUAUUUCUAUCUAGGGUUUUUCAACUAGUUCCCCAAUUGGCUGUAAAACCCUAGCAACAAACAGGGGGGGGCACUUCUUAGAAAGGCAACGGGAGGCUGUGAACAUUCAAGGUAAUGCCAACUCAGCUUUUGUUUUUUCCUCCUCCUUUAUGUUAUCAUUUCAUUUCUUUCCAGAGCUUGUGUCUGAUGAUA
rnacentral:lncRNA from 1 species